rnacentral:tRNA from 1 species
GGUUAAAUGGCUGAUUAGGUGUUAAAUUGUAAAUUUAAUUAUAGGUUUGUACCUUUUAACUA